UCCGACCUACGGGGGGCAGCAGUAGGGUAUAUUGCUCGAUGGGGGAAACCCUGAAGCAGCAACGCCGCGUGGAGGAUGAAGGUUUUCGGAUUGUAAACUCCUUUUGUUAGAGAAGAUAAUGACGGUAUCUAACGAAUAAGCACCGGCUAACUCCGUGCCAGCAGCCGCGGCAAUACGGAGGGUGCAAGCGUUACUCGGAAUCAAUGGGCGUAAAGAGCGCGUAGGCGGGAUAGCAAGUAAGAUGUGAAAUCCUAUGGCUUAACCAUAGAACGGCAUU
rnacentral:rRNA from 1 species